rnacentral:rRNA from 1 species
UACGUAGGGGGCAAGCGUUGUCCGGAAUCAUUGGGCGUAAAGCGCGUGUAGGCGGCCCGGUAAGUCCGCUGUGAAAGUCCAGGGCUCAACCCUGGGAUGCCGGUGGAUACUGUCGGGCUCGAGUCCGGAAGAGGCGAGUGGAAUUCCUGGUGUAGCGGUGAAAUGCGCAGAUAUCAGGAGGAACACCAAUUGCGAAGGCAGCUCGCUGGGACGUUACUGACGCUGAGACGCGAAAGCGUGGGGAGCAAACAGG